rnacentral:rRNA from 1 species
ACAUGCAAGUCGAGCGGGUCGAUGGGAGCUUGCUCCCUGAGAUUAGCGGCGGACGGGUGAGUAACACGUGGGCAACCUGCCUAUAAGACUGGGAUAACUUCGGGAAACCGGAGCUAAUACCGGAUACGUUCUUUUCUCGCAUGAGAGAAGAUGGAAAGACGGUUUCGGCUGUCACUUAUAGAUGGGCCCGCGGCGCAUUAGCUAGUUGGUGAGGUAAUGGCUCACCAAGGCGACGAUGCGUAGCCGACCUGAGAGGGUGAUCGGCCACACUGGGACUGAGACACGGCCCAGACUCCUACGGGAGGCAGCAGUAGGGAAUCUUCCGCAAUGGACGAAAGUCUGACGAGCAACGCCGCGUGAACGAAGAAGGCCUUCGGGUCGUAAAGUUCUGUUGUUAGGGAAGAACAAGUACCAGAGUAACUGCUGGUACCUUGACGGUACCUAACCAGAAAGCCACGGCUAACUACGUGCCAGCAGCCGCGGUAAUACGUAGGUGGCAAGCGUUGUCCGGAAUUAUUGGGCGUAAAGCGCGCGCAGGUGGUUCCUUAAGUCUGAUGUGAAAGCCCACGGCUCAACCGUGGAGGGUCAUUGGAAACUGGGGAACUUGAGUGCAGAAGAGGAAAGUGGAAUUCCAAGUGUAGCGGUGAAAUGCGUAGAGAUUUGGAGGAACACUUGUGGCGAAGGCGACUUUCUGGUCUGUAACUGAC